rnacentral:tRNA from 1 species
GGGGCAUCGUCCAACGGUCAGGACCCUGGUUUUUGGUACCAGUUAUGGGGGUUCGAAUCCCUCUGCCCCCGCCA